GUUUUCUUUCCAUGCGGUGGGCCAACAAGUCAUCUCUCUGUUUUCUUUAUGUUUUUGUGCCUCGGAAAGGCUUUGCCUUUUUACAAAAAAGAGAAAGAAGAGGAAAGAACAAAACAGUAAAACUUUCAACUUUA